GUAGGUAGAUCCUGCACAAUGACAGAGGCAGCGUUCCAAAUUGCAGCCUGUGGUUGGCCACGUUACUGCACCCUGCACUUUAAGGAACUACAAAUCGAAAACAGUCAGUGUUUUCAUAGACACAAUUGAAAAUGUAUUGUCUGGAUUGGGCUUUUAUUCAACCGUCAAAUAAAAUCACUCAAUCAAUAAGGUUCCAUUUGGGACGCAGACAGACAGACAGACAGACAGACAGACAGACAGACAGACAGACAGACAGACAGACAGACAGACAGACAGACAGGGACAUGACAGACAGACUGACAGACAGACAGACAGACAGACAGACUGACAGACAGACUGACAGACUGACAGGGACAUGACAGACAGACUGACAGUGACAUGACAGACAGGGACAUGACAGACAGACUGACAGACGGACAGACAGACUGACAGGGACAUGACAGACAGACUGACAUGACAGACUGACUGACAGCAACAUGACAGACAGACUGACAGCGACAUGACAGACAGACUGACAGCGACAUGACAGACAGACUGACAGCAACAUGACAGACAGACUGACAGACGGACAGACAGACUGACAGGGACAGACUGACAGCGACAUGACAGACAGACUGACAGGACAUGACAGACAGACUGACAGCAACAUGACAGACAGACUGACAGGGACAUGACAGACAGACUGACAGACAGACUGACAGCAACAUGACAGACAGACUGACAGAAACAUGACAGACAGACUGACAGCGACCUGACAGACAGGGACAUGACAGACAGACUGACAGACAGACAGGGACAUGACAGACAGGGACAUGACAGACAGACUGACAGAGACAUGACAGGCAGACUGACAGACAGACUGACAGACAGACAGGGACAUGACAGACUGACUGACAGAGACAUGACAGACAGGGACAUGACAGACAGACUGACAGACAGACUGACAGACAGACAAGGACAUGACAGACUGACUGACAGAGACAUGACAGACAGGGACAUGACAGACAUGAUAGACAGACUGACAUGACAG
rnacentral:lncRNA from 1 species